rnacentral:tRNA from 2 species
CGAAAUAGCUCAAUUGGUAGAGCAACUGAUUUGUAAUCAGUAGGUUACGGGUUCGAUUCCUGUUUUCGGC